UAUUAAAAUGUAGCCUUCUACCAAAAUUAC
rnacentral:piRNA from 1 species